AUGGAUGAGGAGUACUACAUGUUUCGCGACCAAGGAUCCGAUAAUGACACAAUUGAGGAUGACGAGGAAACGAGCAUGUCGUCUGCUAUACCUAGCGAGGUUGAUCCAUUAGACUUUGUCUACACAAACAUCCCAGACACCACUCACAUCCUGAAGCUCGACGCAAAUUGCAAACACUGCAAGGCCAAAAAGUUUGUGUCUGAGACUGACGGGUUCUGCUGUCGCAAUGGCUAG
rnacentral:rRNA from 1 species